rnacentral:rRNA from 1 species
CCCUUCGAUGUUCUGGGCUGCACGCGCGCUACACUGAUGCGUUCAACGAGUGUACAACCUUGCCCGAUAGGGUUGGGUAACCUUUUGAACACGCAUCGUGAUGGGGAUAGAUUAUUGCAAUUAUUAAUCUUCAACGAGGAAUUCCUAGUAAUGGCGAAUCAUCAGUUCGUCGUGAUUACGUCCCUGCCCUUUGUACACACCGCCCGUCGCUCCUACCGAUUGAGCAAUCCGGUGAAUAUUUCGGACCGAAUAUCUGCGGGGCAACCCAUGGACGUUUGGAAGGUCAAGUAAACCUUAUUGCUUAGAGGAAGGAGAANUCGUANCA